rnacentral:rRNA from 1 species
CGCGUGCCGUCCUGAGGGUACCCGGCGAAAAAGCAUCGGCUAACUCCGUGCCAGCAGCCGCGGUAAUACGUAGGAGGCAAGCGUUAUCCGGAAUGACUGGGCGUAAAGGGUGCGUAGGUGGUUUGACAAGUUAGUAGCGCAACUCCGGAGCUCAACUUCGGAACUACUACUAAAACUGUUGAACUUGAGUGCAGGAGGGGCAAUCGGAAUUCCUAGUGUAGCGGUGGAAUGCGUAGAUAUUAGGAGGAACACCAGUGGCGAAGGCGGAUUGCUAGACUGUAACUGACACUGAGGCACGAAAGCGUGGGGAGCAAACAG